GGGCCAUGGCUCAGUGGUAGAACAUCUACUUUGCAUGCAGAAGACUCCAGGUUCAAUCCCUGGCAUGUCCA